AGAGCUACCUGGGUUUUACUUUGACCCUGAAAAGAAACGCUACUUCCGCUUGCUCCCUGGACAUAACAACUGCAACCCCCUGACGAAAGAGAGCAUCCGGCAGAAGGAGAUGGAGAGCAAGAGACUGCGGCUGCUCCAGGAAGAAGACAGACGGAAAAAGAUUGCCAGGAUGGGAUUUAAUGCAUCUUCCAUGCUACGAAAAAGCCAGCUGGGUUUUCUCAACGUCACCAAUUACUGCCAGUAAGACAAUGCCUCUU
rnacentral:lncRNA from 1 species